GUGAGGAAUAUUGGUCAAUGGGCGGGAGCCUGAACCAGCCAAGUCGCGUGAAGGAAGAAGGAUCUAUGGUUCGUAAACUUCUUUUGCAGGGGAAUAAAGUGCAGGACGUGUCCUGUUUUGUGUGUACCCUGAGAAUAAGGAUCGGCUAACUCCGUGCCAGCAGCCGCGGUAAUACGGAGGAUCCGAGCGUUAUCCGGAUUUAUUGGGUUUAAAGGGUGCGUAGGUGGUUUGAUAAGUCAGCGGUGAAAGUUUGCAGCUUAACUGUAAAAAUGCCGUUGAAACUGUCGGACUUGAGUGUAAAUGAGGUAGGCGGAAUGCGUGGUGUAGCGGUGAAAUGCAUAGAUAUCACGCAGAACUCCGAUUGCGAAGGCAGCUUACUAAGCUACAACUGACACUGAAGCACGAAAGCGUGGGGAUCAAACAGGAUUAGAAACCCUAGUAGUCC
rnacentral:rRNA from 1 species